rnacentral:ncRNA from 1 species
GUUUUCAGGUGUUAUUAUUUAAGGUAAGCAAGCUGAUAACAGAUAAAAUUGCAUAAUAAAGGAUGUUAUCACAUUUUGUGAGCAGGGACCUAUUCAA